rnacentral:lncRNA from 1 species
CUCCGCCGUGGGAAAUCGCCUCAGGUAGUUUUUUUUUAUAUAUUUCUUAUAUUCUUAAUAUGUAUGUAUAUAUGAGAAUAAAAUCAAAAUUAAGAAAGAAGAAAAGAGUUAAGAUCACCUUGAAUCUCUCUUUUUUUGACUUUUGGUAUUUUAGUUUGCUUUGUUCUUCUAUUUUUUGAUGUUGCAAGGAUCUAUAUUUUUUGUUUCAAAUGUCUAUGCUUUAUUUCCAUAGAAAGAAAAAAGUCAAAAAAAGGUCCUAUUUUAGUUUCGGUUUUGGCUUUUUAAAGCCAAGUGACAAACUUUUUUUCUUUCUCUGACUUGCUUGUUGCCUCUGUCUUUGCAGGGUAUGGCCGGUGGAGCAGGUGGCCGGUGGUUGGUGUCAGGGACAAGUGGGGAGUAGGUUCGGUGCCGAAAGGGAAUAGGGGUUAGGGUUAUUUUGUGUUUUCUAAAAAUGUUGGGAAUGGGCUAAGGUUUAGUUGGAUAGUAAUGUAAUUGGGCUUUGGGGUUAUGAAAUGGGCUGAGGUUUAAAUGGGUUAAUGGUUUUGUAAGGC